rnacentral:lncRNA from 12 species
UCACACUCCCGGUUUUCUGUAUCUGCCUCAGCACCCAUCACCUUGUUUAUUAACACAGACCCACACCUGCUGUAUCAGUUGAACUGGGGGAGCAAAUGUGGAAGAAGGUGCCAAAUCACAGGAGCAGCUGGCUUCACCACUUCCUACCUCGACAGAACAAGAGUUCCUCCUUAUGCACAAUGGAAGCCGUCACUCACCAAGACAUAACAGCAGCUACACGUACUGGUCAACCUUUCUAUGAAUUGAGAAGAACAAGUGAAUGAUGUGUCAAUACAUCAGAGAGGAUCAAGAUGGAACAUAUCACCUUGGGGUUUGUGCAAAAGCAAUCCAUGAAUUAAAUUUUGGGGAAUAGAAAUAACUAUUGUAUAGGUGCUUGA